rnacentral:tRNA from 1 species
UUUCUCGUAGUUUAGUGGUAACGCGCCUGGCAAGUGAAUAGGAGUCGUGAGUUCGAAUCUCACCGAGAAGA